UACAGAGGGUGCAAGCGUUGUUCGGAAUUAUUGGGCGUAAAGGGCGCGUAGGCGGUGCCACAAGUCACCUGUGAAAUCUCCGGGCUCAACUCGGAGCCUGCUAGGGAAACUGCCGUGCUUGAGUGUGGGAGAGGUGAGUGGAAUUCCCGGUGUAGCGGUGAAAUGCGUAGAUAUCUGGAGGAACACCGGUGGCGAAGGCGGCAUCCUGGACCAACACUGACACUGAGGAGCGAAAGCCAGGGGAGCAAACGGG
rnacentral:rRNA from 1 species